GUAGUUAGCCGGGGCUUCCUCCUUGGCUACCGUCACUUUCUUCGUCACCAAGGACAGAGGUUUACAAUCCGAAGACCUUCUUCCCUCACGCGGCGUUGCUGGGUCAGGCUUGCGCCCAUUGCCCAAUAUUCCCCACUGCUGCCUCCCGUAGGAGUCUGGACCGUGUCUCAGUUCCAGUGUGGCCGAUCAGCCUCUCAGCUCGGCUACCCAUCGUUGGCUAGGUGGGCCGUUACCCCGCCUACUACCUAAUGGGACGCGAACCCCUCCUUCUGCGGAUUGCUCCUUUGACCCCUGAGCCAUGCGACUCUGUGGUCUUAUGCGGUAUUAGCACUUGUUUCCAGGUGUUAUCCCCCUCAAAAGGGCAGGUUGUUCACGCGUUACUCACCCGUUCGCCACUAGCUAUAAAUCCGAAAACCUAUAGCCCGUUCGACUUGCAUGUGUUAGGCACGCCGCCAGCGUUCGUCCUGAGCAUGAUACAACUACUGA
rnacentral:rRNA from 1 species